GCUGAAGAUCCCUUUCAUGAGAGGUGCCUACAACACAGCCAGUUGACGUCGAGCAAAGGAAUGGAAUUGCAGGAAGGAUAAUCAAUAUUCUGGAAUCAUGAGAGUAAAGGAAUGGAAUUGGAGGAAGGAUAAUCCAUUUCCUGGAAUCAUGAAUCUCAACACAUUUGCGAAGAGGAACACUGUGCUCUGCAAACUGUAAUAUGCUGAUCUUAAGCACAAGGAAGUCUGCAGAUUCUGGAAAUUGAAAGCAACAAACAAAAGAUGUUGGAGAAACUCAGCAGAAUGUCUCAGAAAGCCUUUCCCGCCAUUGACAUAUCUACAUGGAGUUUUAUCACAAGAAAGCAGCAGCCAUCAUCAAUGACCUCCAUCAUGCAGGUCAUGCUCUCUUCUCGCUGCUGCCAUCAGGAAGAAGAUACAGGAGCCUCAAGACUCACAGCUCCAGGUUCAGGAACAGUUAUUACCCCUCAACCAUCAGGCUCCUGAACUAAAGGGAAUAACUUCACUCAACUUCACUUGCCCCAGCAUUGAAAUGUUCCCACAACCUGUGGACUCACUCUCAAGGACUCAUCAUCUCAUGUUCUUGAUAUUUAUUGCUGAUCUAUUUAUAACAACAACAAUAAUUAUUAUUUCUUUUCUUUCUUUUGUAUUUGCAUAGUUUGUUGUCUUUUGCACACUGGAUGUCUGUCCUGUUAGUGUGAUCUUUCAGUAAUUCUAUUAUGAUUUCUGGAUAUGUUGAGUAUGCCUGCAAGAAAAUCAAUCUGAGGGUUGUAUAUGGUGACA